CCUACGGGUGGCAGCAGUGGGGAAUCUUUGGCAAUGGGCGCAAGCCUGACCCAGCAACGCCGCGUGAAGGAAUAAGGCUCUCGGGUUGUAAACUUCUUUUCUGAGGGGCGAAGAAAGUGACGGUACCACAGGAAUAAGCCACGGCUAACGACGUGCCAGCAGCCGCGGCAAUACAUAGGUGGCAAGCGUUAUUCGGAAGUAUUGGGGGGAAGGGGCGUGUAGGCGGGAAAGCGAGUCAGAUGUGAAAACUCAGGGCUCAACCCUCAGCCUGCAUUUGAAACUGUUUUUCUUGAGUGCUGGAGAGGCAAUCGGAAUUCUGGGUGUAGCGGUGAAAUGCGUAGAUAUACGGAGGAACACCAGUGGCGAAGGCGGAUUGCUGGACAGUAACUGACGCUGAGGCGCGAAAGCGUGGGGAGCAAACAGGAUUAGAUACCCCUGUAGUC
rnacentral:rRNA from 1 species